GACGUAGGGCGCGAGCGUUGUCCGGAUUUAUUGGGCGUAAAGAGCUCGUAGGCGGCUUGUCGCGUCGUCCGUGAAAACCUGCGGCUCAACUGCAGGCUGGCGGUCGAUACGGGCAGGCUGGAGUUCGGUAGGGGAGACUGGAAUUCCUGGUGUAGCGGUGAAAUGCGCAGAUAUCAGGAGGAACACCGGUGGCGAAGGCGGUUCUCUGGGACGGUACUGACGCUGAGACGCGAAAGCGUGGGGAGCGAACAGG
rnacentral:rRNA from 1 species